rnacentral:rRNA from 1 species
UACGUAGGGUGCAAGCGUUAAUCGGAAUUACUGGGCGUAAAGCGUGCGCAGGCGGUUGUGCAAGACCGAUGUGAAAUCCCCGGGCUUAACCUGGGAAUGGCAUUGGUGACUGCACGGCUAGAGUGUGUCAGAGGGGGGUAGGAAUUCCACGUGUAGCAGUGAAAUGCGUAGAGAUGUGGAGGAAUACCGAUGGCGAAGGCAGCCCCCUGGGAUAACACUGACGCUCAUGCACGAAAGCGUGGGGAGCAAACAGG